UUCUUAUCGAGAGAGGUGGAGGGACUGGCCCUGUGAAACCUCAGCAACCUGCUGCAAUCCACGAUUGCUGUCAAGGUGCUAAAUCCAGCGGAUUUAUCCGGAAGAUAAGAA
rfam:Bacillus smithii strain DSM 4216, complete genome.